GUACAAUACUCCAAGUGAGGUCUCCCCAGUGUUCUGAACAAUGGCAUGAGCACUUCCCUCUUUCUACUGCUAAUACCUCUCCCUAUACAACCAAGCAUUCUGCUAGCAUUUCCUGCUGCUCUAUUACAUUGUCUGCCUACCUUUAAGUCAUCAGAAAUAAUCACGCCUGAAUCCAUUUCCUCAGAUGUUGAGGUUUGGACUCUAUCAAAUAUUCUGUACUCUGCCCUUGGG